rnacentral:rRNA from 1 species
UUUAAAUGUUGAACAAAGGUUUCCGUUGGGGAACUAUUGGAGGGAUCAUUG